AGCUUCCUCCAGGUUCUUUUGGAGCACUUGACUCUGCAGACACCCCCAGGCCCCAUGAUCAAGAGUCCUGGGCAUGCCGAGGCUUUACUGCACCUCACCCAGCUCAGGAACUAGAUGUGAGCAAAAACGCUUCCAGACCAGAAGGUUUUUGAAUUCCAUCUCUAAUGACCUGUCAGAUCAGAAGACUGGUAAACCUGGAGCCUCAUCCCAAGAGGUGAUGGUGUCUGGGUUUAUUAUGGAUUGCAGGAUGUAACUAUCAAUCUGGAGCUUUAGGGGGAAGAAAGAAUAUUUUGAACCACACCAGGAGAAUUACCCUAGAGAAUAUAAGUUCACCUGCCAAAAUGGGAGGCUGGCAUCUUUUUGCUCUAUGAGAAGGCUGCUGAGCUAACAGGUCUGCCUUGGCAUAAAUGUCUAGAAGAGCAUGUGUCUCCUGGAGUGUGGGGACAUUUGUGUUUCCAUAAAUUGGCAGCUGCUUCUGGUUAGAGACUUCUAAAAGGUCUGGAAUACUGGAAUACUGGUAUAGUCCAAAAGGGGAAGAUGAAAAGGAGCCGUGGAACAUUGUACCUGGGAAGAAGAUGGGACAUUACUCUCCGCACGCCCUGGAGCUUUCGGAAGACGUAUAAGAGGAUCUUAGUUUCCAUAGCUCCACAUGAAAGAGCAAGCAGGGCUGCUGAUGUCCACUGUGGGCUCCAAGUGAGGGACUGGCCCAUGGGCAGGAGGUGAGGGAGACUUACUUGCUUUUCUCUGAGCUGGUCCACAGCAGCAGAGGAGACUGGGGUGAGCCUCACUCCAGAAUACUUGUAGAGUAUGUGACACCGGUUCCCAACCUUGGCUCCACAAAAAUUACCUGUGAACCUUCUAAAAUACACAUAAGAAAUUCUUACUGAAUUGAACUGGGAUGAGAUUCCACGUAUCAGGAUUCUGUAAAAGCUCCCCCAGUGACUCAAGAUGAAGUCCGGCUUGAAGACCAGUGAUAUGCAGGAAAUGUGUCCUGUGAUUUGGAACCACAUUCCAUUUGUCAAGCAAGACACUACGGCCACAUAAUGGAGAUCUACUUCCAUAUGAACCAGUGGAUUUCACUCUGCUUAAUGGUUAUGCAGUAGAGGAGCUGAACUUCUUACAAGGUGGCUCCUGGUCCCUAAAACACCAAAUGUUUCGAGAAGGUUCAGACAAAAGUUGUAGUGCACUUUAACUUCAAGAUUAACCUGAGACUGGUACAGUGUCACUUCUUCCACCUGCAAUUCAUGAACCCGAGUAGCUGACCAGCCCAGAAUCACUAUAGGAAGAACUACACCAAGGCUGAUUUUUCUUACCUUAACAGUGGGAAUGGCUUUAUGAUGCAUAUCAUGUCAUUCAGCGUAGCCUUCUUCCAGUAAAUUUCUCAACUGUCUCCAAGAUUAUACUUCUAAAUGCAUGUGAAUCGUGGUAAUCCACUCUUUAAAAUCUCCAGUAAAAAUCAAGAGCUGGCAGCUCUCCACGUUUUGACUUAUGUCUCCUAGAGAAGAAUAGGCACCCUGCCUGGAGCAUGACUACACAACACGGUGUAACUUGGGUGAACUGUUAGAUCCUUCAGUGAACAGAACGACAUUGCUCUACCCUGAUAAAAGUACUGCUGUUGCAACAAUUAAGCUCUUUCUCCAUGUUUUCCCCCUCAAUAACAAGACUCCUAUUCUCCCUCUUCCCCCAGAAAAGAAGUUACAGGAAAAUUGUGGACUAUAAUUAAAAUAUUUUCUUGAAUCUAUGAAUAGGAGACCAUCCUUAAGUACGAUGAAUUCUGAAGAGAAAUGUGUUGUCUUCUCUGUAAAUAUGUCUUUGGAAAUCAGUACAAAGUUGAGCUACAAAGUAGCAGAACUCUUCUGCACUAAAGGCACAAAAUGAUUAGCCCCAUGAGGAAUGAUUAAGAACUGUGACUGGAAGUUGACAUAACAAGGCUUUCAUCUAUUUCAUUUCCUGCAUAAAGAAUGUCUAGCCCAUCCUGUAUGAAGGAGUGACUGUACUGAUUCACUGCUGGGAUUUGAACUGGCUGAUAGGAAAUAUAUUAAAGCUAGUUACAGUAAUAGUCAAAAAACUGUUUACUUACAUGGGCUUAAGACUAACCUUUGUCCUAUCUUAGGUACUUUACGGCCUCCUACGCAGAAGUUUGGUGUUUGCUUUAGGCCUGGGAACCCGGCCUUUAAUCUUUACCCUCUAGUGGUCUUUACUCACAACCUUUGUUAAUUAGUCUUACUGAAUAAAUGCAAACCUGACUAGUGGAUCAGGGCCGAGUCGCAGCUGUUUACAGAACUCGGCUUGGGGCCUGUAAGCGGCUCAGACCCUCAGCUGGACUGGCAGAGCAUUUUAUUUGCUAUGAGAAUACCUUAUUAGGCAAAACCGCAUACUAUAAAAAUGCUUUAAGAUGCUC